UAAGAAUUUAAGAGUCGAACAGACUCACCUUAUAAGGGGGCUGCCCCUUAAAGUUUUCUUAAUUCAACAUCGAGGUCGCAAAAGAAAGUAUAGAUAUGAACUCCCCACUCCAAUUACGCUGUUAUCCCUAAGGUAACUUUUUCUUUUAACCCAUUAAAGAGGAUCAUAAAAAACAUAUAUAAAUGAGAAUUUCAACUAAAGUUAAAUUUAGUAACCGCCCCAGCUAAACAAUUCACAAUAUAAUAAAAAUUUGAAUACAAAAUUUAGUUAAAAUAUAAACUAUAAAGUUCUAUAGGGUCUUAUCGUCCCUAAAACCCAAUUAGGCAUUUUAACCUAAAAUUUAAAUUCUAAAUCUAAAAACAAUAAAAUAAAUUUCUCAUACAUCCAUUCAUACCAGCUCCCAAUUAAGAAGCUAAUUACUAUGCUACCUUUGCACAGUCAAAAUACUGCAGCCAUUUAGUAAAUCCAUAGGGCAGAAGGUACCUUUUAAAAACCCA
rnacentral:rRNA from 1 species